CGGGUGUCUAUCAGCUACAGAGAGCCUAGUGCGGCUCCUCCUCCCCCGCUGCCCAGCUGCCUUCCUGCUAAUGCUGCUCUAAUUAACAGCAGCCUGGAGAGGCUGAAGCCUGGGCAGCAGGAGAGCAUGAUUUUAUCCAGUAGAGUCGUGUCUCUGGCUUGGGAGCCAGGAGAAAAACCCCUUUCAUAUUGCCAGAUCAAUAAGCAGAUGAGGAAACCAAGGCCCAGGAUGGUAGCAGAAGUUGCCCAAGUAACAAACUUGGGGACCUUCAGAAGAGCUGUAGUAGAGGUUGAAUUGGCUUUUGGAAACAUCUUGAGGAAGGUGGACCUUGAGCUCCCCUAGAAACUUCUGGAGGCUUCAAAGACAUGGCAACUUAUCAAUUGGGACCUUUAGUUUAUGAUGAGCUUCUGGCUGCUUCUAUUCAUGUGGAAUCCCAGAGCUGAAAGGCCUUGGAAUAUGGGUUUGAUGUAGAAAACCCUGAGCAGUCUCUUGGCCCUUCCUUGGUCCUUGACAGUGGAAGGGGGGAAGCUGCAUCAGUUGAAAGGAGAGAUGGAUUCUGAUUGACUCUUCUUUUGUUUUGACUCUUCUGUGAGGUAAGUAGUGCAUUCUGUCUUUAGGUGCCCUAAAAAGGGGAUGAACUAUACUAUUAUCUCCCCUCCCUCUCCUCUUAUUUAAGGAUGGAGAAUAGACUCAACUAAGUGAAUUUGUGCCUGGAUUCCUGGCUGACUUUUCAACCUUGUUUCCUUUUCUGAGGAGGUGAUUUGAACAUUAGUUUCAAGCAUCCAUGCUUGGAGAUGACCACAUGAGAUAGAGAGGAUCCAGGGUCCUAUAUCUCAUCUGGUAGGGACUGACUUGUGGCAAAGGGAGGAGACCCCCAGAAACUACUCAAGCCUUCCUGGAGAAGAGAACCACCAUCUAGAAGAUUAGCCCAAUCCCUGAUCUUUUUACCAGGAUCCAUGUACUGGGAGUUGUUUGGACAAUGUAGAAUGGAGGUGAAAUAUGGAAUAGCUACUCAGCAAUCAUGCAAACUGAUUUAUAUUUUAAUGGGGUUUUAAGUAUCUGCCUCCCAAGAGAAUAUAAGGGUAGGAAUCCACUGAAUGUUGUUUUUAAGUUGUUUUAUCAAUACGCAUCAUGAAUCUUUUGUGUUCAUUAGCAUUUCUUUGGGGUAUAGGAAAUAACUACCUGUCUCGUACCUGAUUUACACUGGGCAUUGAGUAACUUUCUACUCUAGCCCACCCCAUCUUUGGGAAGACCCAGACAUGAAACAAAGCCUAAGCUAUAAGUAAUUAUCCUUAGGACACUUUGACGGGGUUUUAUGGAGCCAAAGGAGCCUAACCAUUAC
rnacentral:lncRNA from 1 species